rnacentral:rRNA from 1 species
GAUGAACGCUGGCGGCGUGCCUAAUACAUGCAAGUCGAGCGAACAGACGAGGAGCUUGCUCCUCUGACGUUAGCGGCGGACGGGUGAGUAACACGUGGAUAACCUACCUAUAAGACUGGGAUAACUUCGGGAAGCCGGAGCUAAUACCGGAUAAUAUAUUCAACCGCAUGGUUCAAUAGUGAAAGACGGUUUUGCUGUCACUUAUAGAUGGAUCCGCGCCGCAUGAGCUAGUUGGGAAGGUAACGGCUUACCAAGGCGACGAUGCGUAGCCGACCUGAGAGGGUGAUCGGCCACACUGGAACUGAGACACGGUCCAGACUCCUACGGGAGGCAGCAGUAGGGAAUCGUCCGCAAUGGGCGAAAGCCUGACGGAGCAGCGCCGAGUGAGGGAUGAACGUCUUCGGAUCGUAAAACUCUGUUAUUAGGGAAUAACAAAUGUGUAAGUAACUAUGCACGUCUUGACGGGACCUAAUCAGAAAGCCACGGCUAACUACGUG